AUUGAACGCUGGCGGCAGGCCUAACACAUGCAAGUCGAACGAGUGGCGGACGGGUGAGUAAUGUCUGGGGAACUGCCCGAUGGAGGGGGAUAACUACUGGAAACAGUAGCUAAUACCGCAUACCAUCGGAUGUGCCCAUAUUGGAUUAGCUAGUAGGUGGGGUAAAGGCUCACCUAGGCGACGAUCCCUAGCUGGUCUGAGAGGAUGACGAGCGACCAGGGAACUGAGACACGGCCCAGACUCCUACGGUAGGAAGCAGUGGGGAAUCUUGCACAAUGGGCGAAAGUCUGACACAGCCAGGCCGCGUGUGUGAAGAAGGCUUUCGGGUCGUAAAGCUCUGUUGGCGGAGAUGCGGUAUUUGACCAAGAAGCAACGGCUAACUACGUGCCAGCAGCCGCGGUAAUAC
rnacentral:rRNA from 1 species